CAUAGCUCGCUAGCUUUAACUAUCAAAACAGAGCAGUCACAUGUCUGCAUGCAACUGCAAUGCCUUGUGGAAGACUCUUGGCUUGCACACUGAGUGCAAAAACAGGGUGCACACAAGUAGGAAGUAAACUGACAGUGGCAGUAAACAGUGGAUGACUUCUGAGCUGCAGUAUAUCCCGAGCGUCUCUUGACACAAGGCCCCCACUGAUCCCAGGGUAUAAAAGGUGUUUUUUGAACCAGCAUGGCUCAUUCCAAAGACGGACCAUGGAGGCUACCCGUGCAGGUCCAACCCAGGAUGGGAGCAGAACCAAGAGGCCACG